AACGAACGCUGGCGGCGUGGCUAAGACAUGCAAGUCGUACGAUAUGUUGUAGCAAUAUGACAUAUAGUGGCGGACGGGUGAGUAAUGAAUAGGUAACGUACCCCGGGCACAGGGAUAACGUCGGGCGAAAGCCCUUUGCGAAAGUGACGGUAAUACCUGGUGACGUCUUCGAGUGGCAUCACUUGAAGAUCAUACGGUGGGGACCUUCGGCCUAUUGGCCUGGGAGCGGCCUAUCCUUAUCAGCUAGUUGGUGAGGUAACGGCUCACCAAGGCAACGACGGGUAGCCGGACUGAGAGGUUGUUCGGCCACAUCGGGACUGAGACACUGCCCGGACAUCUACGGAUGGCUGCAGUAACGAAUAAUCCGCAAAUGGGCGAAAGCCUGACGGUGCGACGCCGCGUGGAGGAUGAAUUCCUUCGGGAUGUAAACGUCCUUUUAGGGUAGAUGAAAGUGAAGACGCGCUAAUACCGCGCCAGCUGAUCUAUCCC
rnacentral:rRNA from 1 species